GAUGAACGCUGGCGGCGUGCCUAAUACAUGCAAGUCGAGCGAACGGACGAGAAGCUUGCUUCUCUGAUGUUAGCGGCGGACGGGUGAGUAACACGUGGAUAACCUACCUAUAAGACUGGGAUAACUUCGGGAAACCGGAGCUAAUACCGGAUAAUAUUUUGAACCGCAUGGUUCAAAAGUGAAAGACGGUCUUGCUGUCACUUAUAGAUGGAUCCGCGCUGCAUUAGCUAGUUGGUAAGGUAACGGCUUACCAAGGCAACGAUGCAUAGCCGACCUGAGAGGAUGAUCGGCCACACUGGAACUGAGACACGGUCCAGACUCCUACGGGAGGCAGCAGUAGGGAAUCCUCCGCAAUGGGCGAAAGCCUGACGGAGCAACGCCGCGUGAGUGAUGAAGGUCUUCGGAUCGUAAAACUCUGUUAUUAGGGAAGAACAUAUGUAUAAGUAACUGUGCACAUCUUGACGGUACCUAAUCAGAAAGCCACGGCUAACUACGUG
rnacentral:rRNA from 1 species